rnacentral:rRNA from 1 species
ACUCCUACGGGAGGCAGCAGCAGGGAAUAUUGCGCAAUGGACGGAAGUCUGACGCAGCGACGCCGCGUGGAUGACGAAGGCCUUCGGGUUGUAAAAUCCUUUUCCGGGCGAUGAGGAAGGACACUAGCCUGGGAAUAAGCGUCGGCUAACUACGUGCCAGCAGCCGCGGUAAGACGUAGGACGCGAGCGUUAUCCGGAUUUACUGGGCGUAAAGCGCCUGCAGGCGGUCAGGUAAGUCGGUUGUGAAAGCCCCGUGCUCAACGCGGGGAGGCCAAGCGAUACUGCGUGACUUGAGGGCGGAGGAGGGGAGUGGAAUUCCCGGUGUAGCGGUAAAAUGCGCAGAUAUCGGGAGGAACACCAGUGGCGAAGGCGGCUCCCUGGACCGCACCUGACGCUCAGAGGCGAAAGCUAGGGGAGCGAACAGGAUUAGAGACCCUGGUAGUCCUAGCCCUAAACGCUGGAUGCUAGGUGUAGGGCUGAUGAGGCUCUGUGCCGGAGCGAACGCGAUAAGCAUCCCGCCUGGGAACUACGGCCGCAAGGCUAAAACUCAAACGAAUUGACGGGGACCCGCACAAGCAGCGGAGCGUGUGGUUUAAUUCGAUGCUACACGAAGAACCUUACCUGGGUUUGACAUGUUGGUGGUACCGAACCGAAAGGGGAGGGACCCUUCGGGGAGCCAACACAGGUGCUGCAUGGCUGUCGUCAGCUCGUGCCGUGAGGUGUCGGGUUAAGUCCCGUAACGAGCGCAACCCUUGCUCUUAGUUAUACGUGUCUAAGGGGACUGCCGGCGACAAGCCGGAGGAAGGUGGGGAUGACGUCAAGUCAGCAUGGCCUUGAUAUCCAGGGCUACACACACGCUACAAUGGCCGGUACAAAGGGCAGCCAAGCCGCGAGGUGGAGCGAAUCCCAGCAAAGCCGGUCCCAGUUCGGAUUGCAGGCUGCAACCCGCCUGCAUGAAGUUGGAGUUGCUAGUAACCGCGCGUCAGCCAUAGUGCGGUGAAUACGUACCCGGGUCUUGUACACACCGCCCGUCACGUCAUGGGAGUUGGCAACGCCUGACAGCGGUAGCCUAACCGAAAGGAAGGCGCCGACUAAGGCGGGGCUAGCGACUGG